UGACUUCCGUGCCGGUUGCGUUCGGUGU
rnacentral:sRNA from 1 species